rnacentral:lncRNA from 1 species
AAUAUCAAAUGACAAAAUAAAAAAUAUUAAAAAUUAAAAUUAGAAACUAGAAUUUAUUUGGAGAAGAAUGAAAUUGGUCUCAUAUUUUUUGGAAUAAAAAUGAAGAAGAUAUGAAUUUUUGAAAAUAAAAGAAAUUAAAUGAAAAAAAUAGAAAAAUCAAAAAAACCAGGAGCGUCUGAUCAAGCCUCAUUAAUUGACGUGGCUGAUCAAACGCUCCAUAUGCGCGCUUCCAUGGUAGGCUUCAGUCAAAUGCGUCACAUAUGGUAUUAAAAAGAGUCAUAAGAAACAAAGGUGGAGAUUAGAUCGUGGUCAAUUAAUCCAAGGGCUGUGAAGCCAUCCACGUGUGGACGGUGGUGGAAACCACCGUCUU